rnacentral:rRNA from 1 species
AGCCUUAGGUAAAGAUCUAAGGUAAAGCCUGCCCAGUGCAAUUUGUGAACGGCCGCAGUACCCUGACUGUGCUAAGGUAGCAUAAUAAUUUGGCUUUUAAAUGGAGUCGGGAAUGAAUGGAUUAAUAGGGCUAAGCUGUCUCCCCUAUACUUAUUUUAAUUUACUUAUUAGGUGAAAAUGCCUAUAUUAAGAAAAAAGACGAGAAGACCCUAGGAGUUUUCACUAAACUUUAUAUUUUAUAGUGUUCGUUUUUGUUGGGGCGACAUGAGAGGAGAAAUAUAAACCUCUUUGACUUAUAUGCCGACUAAGUAUGUAUAAUUAAACUACCCUAGGGAUAACAGCGUAAUUCUUUUUGAGUUUGCGACCUCGAUGUUGGACUAGGAAUUGGGCAGGCAAGCCGCCUGUUUUCACUGUUCUGUUCGAACUUUUUCUCCU